GCAAAGUCCAUGACUAUCCAAAGAGUCUCUCCAUGGGGUUGGAUUUUACAAUCUUAUCAGUCUGGGACUCCAGAUGUCCUUCGGCAAAUGACCAGGGAUUGAAGAGAAAGGCCUAGAAGAAGCCUGUCUUCCCUCUAAUGCGGGUUCAUUUUAUCCCUGUAUGGAACUUCCUCGGUCAAACAGAUCUGAAAAGGAACACAGAAAAUGGACAAGGGACAGAACCACACCUGACCUACAGUCAGUAAGCGGAGCAACAUAUCAGUGCUUCUCUAAGGUCUCAGCAGGAGGAAACACAUGCCUGGUGCUGUAAAUCUGGCCUAGAACACAUGACUGAGAGCUCAUAGGAUGCAAAGGGAAAAAUCUUUGCGUGAAUCGGUUUCCAGAACCCGGUACCCUGAACCCAGUUUCUCCAUAAACACUCAGGAUGUCACUUACAAGGCAAGUGGAUUUGAUCUCCUCCUUGUAUGUUGGAAAACUUGCAGGGCUUCAAGGUGCUACAGUUGGUAAGGAGGGGACCAAGCUUUUCUCAUUAAGUCCCUCUCGAUUCAGAUGUUUCUCUCGCACGCACGCACAAAAUUUAAGUCAGGAAGGAGAUUAUCUCAUCUCAAAUACUGAAGAAAGUAAAACGAACACUUGUUCCGACUACACUGGAGGGAGUCUAAUAAACGCAAGGCCUCCCACUCAUCCAACGGAUUCCUUCGAAUGGUUGGGAUC